rnacentral:rRNA from 1 species
GAUGAACGCUGGCGGCGUGCCUAAUACAUGCAAGUCGAGCGAAUGGAUUAAGAGCUUGCUCUUAUGAAGUUAGCGGCGGACGGGUGAGUAACACGUGGGUAACCUGCCCAUAAGACUGGGAUAACUCCGGGAAACCGGGGCUCAUACCGGAUAACAUUUUGAACCGCAUGGUUCGAAAUUGAAAGGCGGCUUCGGCUGUCACUUAUGGAUGGACCCGCGUCGCAUUAGCUAGUUGGUGAGGUAACGGCUCACCAAGGCAACCAUGCGUAGCCGACCUGAGAGGGUGAUCGGCCACACUGGGACUGAGACACGGCCCAGACUCCUACGGGAGGCAGCAGUAGGGAAUCUUCCGCAAUGGACGAAAGUCUGACGGAGCAACGCCGCGUGAGUGAUGAAGGCUUUCGGGUCGUAAAACUCUGUUGUUAGGGAAGAACAAGUGCUAGUUGAAUAAGCUGGCACCUUGACGGUACCUAACCAGAAAGCCACGGCUAACUACGUGCCAGCAGCCGCCGUAA